ensembl:snRNA U6 U6 spliceosomal RNA
GUGCUAGCUUUGGGAGCACACAUAACUAAAGUUAGACCAACACAGAGAGGAGGAGCACGGCCCUGCACAAGGACAACAUGCAAAUUUGUGAAACAUUAUAUAUGUUA